rnacentral:rRNA from 1 species
UACGUAGGGGGCAAGCGUUAUCCGGAUUUACUGGGUGUAAAGGGAGCGCAGAUGGAACUGUAAGUCUGAUGUGAAAGCCCGGGGCUCAACCGCGGGACUGCAUCGGAUACUGUAGAUCUGGAGUGCCGGAGGGGCAAGCGGAAUUCCUGGUGUAGCGGUGAAAUGCGUAGAUAUCAGGAGGAACACCGGCGGCGAAGGCGGCUUGCUGGACGGCAACUGACGUUGAGGCUCGAAAGCGUGGGGAGCAAACAGGAUUAGAUACCCU